CCUACGGGAGGCAGCAGUGAGGAAUAUUGGUCAAUGGGCGGAAGCCUGAACCAGCCAAGUAGCGUGCAGGAUGACGGCCCUACGGGUUGUAAACUUCUUUUAUACGGGAAUAACGCGCCUUACUUGUCGGGCGUUGCGGGUACCGUAUGAAUAAGGACCGGCUAAUUCCGUGCCAGCAGCCGCGGUAAUACGGAGGGUCCGGGCGUUAUCCGGAUUUAUUGGGUUUAAAGGGAGCGUAGGCCGCAUGUCAAGCGUGCUGUGAAAUGUCCGGGCUCAACCCGGGCCUGGCAGCGCGAACUGGCGUGCUGGAGUUCGCGGAAAGCAGGCGGAAUUCGUGGUGUAGCGGUGAAAUGCUUAGAUAUGACGAAGAACCCCGAUUGCGAAGGCAGCUUGCUGCAGCGGAACUGACGCUGAUGCUCGAAAGCGUGGGUAUCGAACAGGAUUAGAUACCCCUGUAGUC
rnacentral:rRNA from 1 species